rnacentral:rRNA from 1 species
UACGGAGGGUGCAAGCGUUAAUCGGAAUUACUGGGCGUAAGGCGUGCGCAGGCGGUUUGUUAAGUCCGUUGUGAAAGCCCCGAGCUCAACUUGGGAAUUGCAGUGGAUACUGGCAGGCUGGAGUACGGUAGAGGAAGGUGGAAUUCCCGGCGUAGCAGUGAAAUGCGUAGAUAUCGGGAGGAACACCAGUGGCGAAAGCGAGGUCCUGGACGCCUACUGACGCUGAGACGCGAAAGCCAGGGGAGCGAACGGG